rnacentral:rRNA from 1 species
UGGCGAACGGUGAGUAAUAUAUCGGAACGUGCCCAGUCGUGGGGAUAACGUAGCGAAAGUUACGCUAAUACCGCAUACGAUCUACGGAUGAAANCGGGGGACUCGCAAGAGCCUCGCGCGAUUGGAGCGGCCGAUAUCAGAUUAGGUAGUUGGUGGGGUAAAGGCUCACCAAGCCAACGAUCUGUAGCUGGUCUGAGAGGACGACCAGCCACACUGGAACUGAGACACGGUCCAGACUCCUACGGGAGGCAGCAGUGGGGAAUUUUGGACAAUGGACGCAAGUCUGAUCCAGCCAUUCCGCGUGCAGGAUGAAGGCCCUCGGGUUGUAAACUGCUUUUGUACGGAACGAAAAGGUUUCUAUUAAUACUAGGAGCUCAUGACGGUACCGUAAGAAUAAGCACCGGCUAACUACGUG